UACGUAGGGUGCGAGCGUUGUCCGGAAUCAUUGGGCGUAAAGCGCGCGUAGGUGGCCCCGUAAGUCCGCUGUGAAAGUCAAAGGCUCAACCUUUGAAAGCCGGUGGAUACUGUGGGACUAGAGUACGGAAGAGGCGAGUGGAAUUCCUGGUGUAGCGGUGGAAUGCGCAGAUAUCAGGAGGAACACCAAUAGCGAAGGCAGCUCGCUGGGACGUUACUGACACUGAGGCGCGAAAGCGUGGGGAGCGAACAGG
rnacentral:rRNA from 1 species